AGAACAGGGUUACAGAGCAUUACCAAAAUUUACAGAUUGAUUUUUAGACGUUUCAUUUCAUCUAGCAUUCAUAUUUGAAACCAAUCAAAAUUAAAACAUUAAUGAGCCAACGUUGGCUAAAAUUAACUUAUACAUGCCAUUAUAACUAGAAUCAAAUCAUCCGAAAUUACCGGUAGAACCAAUGGAUAGUGUGAUAUAUCUCUGACAAGCUUCCAACCCAAUCGAACUUUUGAUAAUCUGUAGGGUAAAUAAAAAAAUACGUAAGCAACGAAUGCUUAGUAAGCUCAGUGUAGUCUUUAAUCAUAUUAGUUCUUUUAAAAUAUUAAAUCUAUACAUAUCAAGGAUAACCCAAUAUUAGUUCUUUUAAAAUAUUAAAUCUAUUCAUCAACUUACAAGGUGAAUAAAUCCACAGUAUCACUUAAACAUAUUAUCCCAAGCUUAGUAGGAUUUUAUAUAACUUUAACUCUUGAUAAUUUCUUUAUUUUCAUUUGCAUUUCUUCACUUUCCACGCUUGUUCCAUAUGCAUGUCACACAAGUCCUAAACAUAUCAUUCAACCAUGGUCACAAACUAGUGCAUUUACCCAGAUCCUUUCCUGAACUGAUUACAUGAUAAGUCAUUUCAUAAGAAAUUGCAUAAUUUAAACCAUACCACUUUUUCAUGAACACUAGCAUAUUUUCCUUCAAAUACUUAUCAAUUCAAUGCUUCCAUUAAAAAAAUCAAAUUACUAUUCAACCAAUAGCUUGGCACUUGCCUAAGCAUCAAGCAACAAUACUGAUUAGUGUACUUGCACACAUUACAUAUAAACUCAUCAUGCAUAAUUUUCUUGUUUCAACAUAUUAAAGAUAAUCAUACAUUUACAUGUCAUGAUACAUAUCAUUCUCUUAUCGUUUCUUAAUAGGUAUAUAUCAUUCAUUUCAUUAUUUCAAUAUUUCAUGUACCAUCAUUUUUAUGAAUUUCGCGUACAUACCGGUAAUAGUUCUCAUGUUAUCUCACUUCAAAACUUUACCCGUUAUAUCAUUUAAAUAUCAAUGGUUACAUUUAUUUUAGAUCAAUACCAAUAAUAAUCUAUAAAUCUUUCAAUUCAACCACAAAAGUCUUUUACCGUUUCUUUCUGUAUCGAAGAACGACUUACGGAUAUGAGUACAUCGUUUUCAGAAGCCCGAAGGCUGAACUUAAGCUCAUGAGAGCUAAACAGAUAGUAAACACAAAGUCUGCAACAAAUGCUGAACAUCGGUUUACUUGGGUAAUUUACUGUCAAUUCCUCCUUUACAUUUGUAAUGCCAUAGCCCAGUUAUGGUCUUAUCUGUCAAUUCAUCCUUUGGCACAGAACGAUUGUACUCAAUCCCGCGUUCAAUCCAAACUGGGUAUUAAAUUCGAUAAUAUAUUUCCAAUAAUAAUUCAAUUCCAUAUUUUCUAUUACCCUUAUUAUUUUCCAUAUUUAUCCCGUUGAACUACUUGGAAUUUCGAUGGAUUUUCAGGGGUACACCUAAGUGUACAAAUCCGAGUCCGUCAAUUCAUAUUCAUGUGUACACAUUUCCAUUUCAGAGAGCACACUCCCGCGAACCUCAUCCUUAUAGCGGGAUUACCAGUCCAGGCUAAAUCCCCUGUAAUAUAAACUCAUAGAGUAUUGUCGGGAUUACUAGUCUAGGCUAAAUCCCCUGCAAUGACAAUUACUCUAUGAGCUUGGAUCUGAAUUACCAAUCCAGGCUCAAUUCAGACCCUAAUUCGGAUUACCCGUCUAGGCUAAAUCCAUUUUCCACAUAUUCUUCGGGAGGGCUAUAUCAGGAUAGGAUCACCCAUCCGGGCUAGAUCCUUUUUACCAUCAAUUCCUUUUCAGAGAUCAUCGAAUUUUUCUUUCAUUCAACCGGGAUUUUCUUCCCCUUUUUAUAAACUAUAUCAUGUUUCAUCAAUUUUCAUAUAAUGAACAUUCAAAUCAUAUUCACAUCAAUAACCAUACAUUUCAAGCAUUUAAGAAUAUAAUUCAAGUUAGACAAACUUACAAGGCUAAAUUACAGAAUAACCAAAAUUCAGGGACAUUUUAAUACUUUUCCAUUUUCCUCGAAUUUCCACCCAUCUUGAUCUAAAUUAAUAUUUCAUUAAAUUUAUUAAUUUAAAUAAUAAAAACAAUUCAUUUCAUGCAAUUGGUCAUUUUUGACAUUUUUACAAAAUUACCCUUAAAAUUUCACUUUAUUCAUUUUAGUCCCCGAAUCUAAAACAUGUAAAUUAGCUACUUUAAAUAACUCAUAUUAUCUGAAUAUUCACAUAUAUUCUUUCAUCCUCCUCCACUCUAUUCCACAUCCUUGAUAUAUACAUAAUACCACUAUUUACUUGUUUACUCAUAACAAGCUGUUCACUUGAGUUAUAGUCACUAAUUAAUUAUAUCUUAAGCUACAGAACUUCAAUUGAGAUCCGAAAAUUUCCAUGAAACAAGACUCACAUAUAAUUUUUACCAUAAAAUUUUUCAUAAUUUUUGGUUUAGCCAAUAAGUACAGUUUAUUCUUUAAAGUUUUCCCUGUUUUUACUCUUUAACAGUUCUUACCCCUUUUCACUAAAAAUUAAUUAUCUCUUUGUACAGAAUCUCAGAUGAUGUUCUCGUUUGUUUCUAUUGAAAAUAUACUCAUUCAGAAUUUUAAACAUAUGAAUUUAAUCCUCUAAUUAUUUUUAUUUAUUUUUUUAUGAUUUUCCAAAGACAGGAACAGGGAAACCCAAAUUCAUUCUGACCUUAUCUCACAAAAUUUAUUAUAUCUCAUGAUUUACAAUUACAUUACUUACAACAUUUCUUCUAUGAGAAACUAGACUUAAUAAUAUUUAAUUUCAUAUUUUUUUCAUUCUCUAAUUCGAUUUUCAUAAUUUAUGGUGAUUUUUCAAAGUUAUCCUACUGUUGCUGUCCAAAACUGUUUUAGUGCAAGAUGUUUACUACCAUGUUUAUAACACCCUUACUUUCUUUCUCUACACUAUUUCUCAUCACUUUCUCUUAUUUUCUCUUCACUAACAUAUCAAGAACACAAGACCUUAUAUAAGAAAAACUCUACUAUAACAUUAAUUUCCUACUUUUUCAAUAAUAUCCCACUCAAAAAUAUAUUGAAAUCUUGAUGUUCUUACCUUGUGCUAUUGAUUUCAAUCUUUAACUUGAUUUUCUCUCUCCUCCAGCUUCUAUUUCUUGAAUCUAAUUUGAUAUUCUAGCUCCCCAUUGUCUCCUUAUUAUUUUUCUCUUUGGAAGCUAUGGAAAUUCUUUGAUUUCUAAGUGAAAAUAGUGAAUUUUUGGUAAAAGGACCAAAUUGUAAAGAAAAGAAAGUUUCUUUCUUUCUUUUCUCCCACAUGUUGGAAUGCAUGAGAGGUUGAUGAUGAUUUUCAUCUUCCUUUUCUUAUAUAUAUACUAAAUAAAAUAAUAAUAAAAUAAUAAAAUAUCAUUUAAAAAUCAAAUUAAAAUAUUAAUAAACUAAUAUUUAUUUAUUUAAUUAAUCUAAAAUAUCUCCAGCAUCAUCAUUAUCUUCUAGUUUUCUCUCUAUUCUAAUUGAACAUUUUGCCCUUUAUGAUCUUUUAAAAUUUCAUCCUUAAGUCAUCACUUAAUUUGGUAAAAUUGUAAUUUAGUCCCUCAAAUUCUUCACCUUUUUCAAGUUGGUCCUAAUCCAUCCAUUUCCUUAGUUUCUAGAUCAUUCCACCCUUAAAAUAUUUACACCAUUGGUCCUUUAAAUUUUUAUAUUUACACUUUAACCCCUCAAAUUUUGAGUAUUUACUCUUGGGCAACAAAACGUUUCUCACUUUUACGAUUUAAUCCUUUCUUGAACUAAUAUGUCAUAAUAAUACUUCCCAAUGUUGACAUAACUCCAAAUUUUCCCUUUUUGUCGCUUUAUUUCCUUAUUUUAUUAUAUCAAAGAUAAUAUAUUACUGUAAAAAAAUUUUUGGGGUAUUACACCAAGCGUGAUCUUUGUUCUUAAUGAGAUGAGGAAAAUGUCGGUGUUGGAAGGCAAAGCCACCACAGGUGAAGGUCUUGAGUGGGGCGUGUUGUUCGAGUUUGGGCCAGGUCUCACGGUGGAGACAUUGGUGCUUCGUAGCUUUGCUACAAAUUCAACACCAUAGUCCAUAGCUAUUGAUGGUGUGUGAAACUUUUUUUGUUCAACAAAAUUGACGGUGUGUGAAACAAUAUGUGAAUGUGAACAAGAAGAUUGAUACAUGUUUCUUUAAGAAAAAACUUAAAAACAUAAGUCUAGAACAACGAACCGUGAAACCUUUAAAAUAAUAAUCUUUAUAUAUUAUUGUUUAAGGUUUCAAUAUAUUUUGUUAGUGGAUUCAGAAAAAAAUUCCUUCACCCCUUAUGUAAAUAUCUAUUUUCAAUAAUAAUAAUAAAAGCCUAUAGCUCAUACAUCAAUGAACUAGAGCUUAAAAAUGUGAAGCUAAAAGAUAAAAUUAGAAUAACACAAUAUACAAUCAGAAGUAACCAUUCAUCAAUUACACAAAAACAAAUAGGAAUCAUAUUUUCCAUCACAUCUAAAAUCAUUUCAAUCCUUUCUUGAUUCAAAUACGCAUGCUCACUCACCUCUUUCUAGUCGAUUAACUCAAUCAGAUGUUCGAAAUAUUUUGAUUUGUAGUGAUAACAUAACUAUUCAAAUGAAUGGUCACAUUUAUUAAUAAUAAACAUAAUUAUUCAAUAGACCUCUACUUGAAUAUUUAUGAAUUUUUAGUAAUAAUCAACAAAACACUUUUAGUAACAAGAGACAUAACUCAUCUCUAUAAAUAGUGAUAAUUUUGGUUGUGAACUCUUAACUAAUAAGCAAGUGACAUAAUUUUUAAAUAUUUUUAAUUUUCCAAUUAUCACUAUUAGAAUAUUAUACAUAUUUUGAAAAUGUUUCAACUUAUAAUAGCUUUCACUAAAAUUAAAUAGGUGGUACUUGCAAUAAACUAAUGCCAAAGUAAGUAAUAACAUGAUCGCAGGCUACAGCAAGAAUUGAGAGCCACCAUAUUCUAUAAAAAUCUGAAGCUUGUGAAAGUACGAUCAAUAAUUACCAACAUAAUCGUGUAUGAAUUGUUGGACAAUUGACAUGGGUUUUUUAUAAGGUAAAUAGUAUCAUAUUUAUAGAUAUAUUAUUUUUAUUAAAAUUAAUACGUAUUAGUUUGUUUCGAUGUAUCCUUAUUUUUUAAAGAAAGGUAUUUAAUAUAUGUGUAUAAAAAUAUGCACAAUAUCAAAUAAAUAACACUAAAUAAAUUUUAAAUACAAAAUAUUCAUCAAUUAUAUAAAAUUUUCAAAAAUAAACUCUACAAAUAAAAUUCAUUAGUCAAUGGAUUAACAAGGAAAAGAACUUAAGGGUGAGUAGAGAUUUUUUUUUUUUGUAAUAAUGUGAAUAGGGGUUUUAUAUUUUAAUUGUGAAAGUAUGUCCUAAAACUAAAACCUUUAAUGUUUAAAAUGUUAAACUUUACUUUUCAUGUAAUCAUUUUGAUUCGUUAGUAAAUUCCAAUUAAGUAUUUAGAAUAAUAGUAAAUUAUUAAAAGUUUUUUUUAAUAUUAUUCAUGCAUCGGUUGGUGCACCAUGUUCCAAUCGGUGUGAUUGGAAUUGACCGAAAUCAGCCGAUGUAAUCGAUAUGAAUUGGAAUUUUCACCAGUGCAAAAAGUGGUGUUGCUUGUUCCACUUUAAAAUAGGAUGGACUCGGCAAAUUGGAGAUCUUGAAACGACAUGUUUUGGUUUGAUUUAAUUAAGUUUUUGUGAGUUAUAAUAAUCUGUUUAAUUUGGACUAGAAAUAAGUUUUAGGAACUGUGGUAUGGAUUUUGAUUUCGUUAGGACUCGUAAGAAUGCGGGAUUUUGGUUUUGAACGGAAGUUAUGAUUUAUCAUGCAUGGACUAUAGUUAAUCAAUUACUAUUCCUUUAUAAAGAACACACGAUUUCAAAAAAAUAACUUAUAGUUUCUGUUUUAAAAAUAAAUGAUGUAUUUUCUAAUGUACCUGAUUUUGAAAUUUCAGUUGACAAUUAGCAAAACUUGAAUUAUCUGCAAAAUGAAUAUUUACAAUUAUUAAAUUGGUUUUAUUUUAAUUCUAACAACGAUUAAACCCCUAAUUUGCAAAAUAUAAGUAAAGAUUUUAUUGGAUUUUGUUAAGCAUUAAAAGAAAAGGGUUUUCAAAAAGAGGUUUUUUAGAUUUGAUCAGUAUUUUAAUUUGGGACACUUUGGUGAGCAAUGUGACCUCAGGAAUUCGGUCGAAACUUCUGGGCUGAGUUUUGGGGUGUUACAAUAAAUUUUAAAUAUAAAGAAUUCAUUAGUUAUAUAAAAUGCUCAUCAAUAAACUCCACAAAUAAAAUUUAUUAUUUAAUGAAUUAACAAGAAAGAACUAAAGGGUGAGUAGGGCCUUUUUUUUUGAUAAUCAUGUGAAUAGUUAAAAGUUUUAUUUUUAACCUAAUAUUUUAUGUAUUAUAAAGUUAAAUGAUAAUAGCACACAAAUUAAUGUUUAAUGAUAAAAAGAGGAGCCAUUUUUAUGUAUUAUAAAGUUAUAAAUUAAUAUAUGAUUAUAUUCAAACCCUAAAUGAAUGAAGGCACAUGUGAUUAAUAAAAUCAUAUUGAAUAGCCAAAAAUACACUUAUCCUUAGAUAAGAUAAUUUGCCAAACACUAGUGAAAUAGGAUUUAAUCUUCUUGGAGCUUUAGGAUUUGGCAAGUUAGGUUGGUCAAAUGCUAAAAGUUCAUUAACAUUAUUGCCUAACUCACUUAUUUUUGCAAUUGAAGUUCUCAAAAUAAUUUCUAUAUAAGCUCAAUUUUGAAAGUUUUUGCUAAAAAGCAACAAACCAAAAAUAUUUAGAUAUGGAAACAGAAAAUAACUUGGAGGGUUGUGGAGUUGAGAAAUUAGCUACUAUUCUAGCUAUUGGCACAACAAAUCCACCCAACUGCUUUUACCAAGCUGAUUAUCCAGAUUUCUACUUUCGAGUGACUAAAAGUGAACACAUGACGCAAUUAAAAGACAAAUUUCGACGAAUAUGUAAGUACCAUAGUUUUGUAAAAGCUAGGAAUGGACUGUUAUUUUAUAUGUAAUCUUCCACCAAAUUACUUUUCCAUUUCCUCACUAAUAUAGAUGUAAUUUAUAUAUGUUACCAGGUGAGAAAUCUACAAUAAAGAAACGUUACAUGCAGUUAAGUGAGGCCAUGCUGAAAGAGAAUCCCUGUUUAACUAUCUACAAGGCUCCAUCCUUUGACGUUCGUCAAGAUUUUCUUGUAAAGGAAGUACCAAAGCUUGGUAUGGAAGCAGCAUUGAAAGCCAUCAAAGAAUGGGGACAACCCAUUUCAAAGAUCACUCACCUUAUAUUUUGCACAUCAUCAGGGAUAGACAUGCCUAGUGCUGACCAUAAGCUUGCUAAUCUUAUUGGCCUCAAACCCUCUGUUCAAAGAUUCAUGAUUUAUAAUCAAGGUUGCUUUGCUGGAGCCACUGCCCUGCGCCUUGCCAAGGAUUUGGCCGAGAACAAUGCCAGUGCUCGUGUACUUAUUGUUUGCUCCGAGAACAUGGUCAUGAGUUUCCAACCACCUUCGGAGACCCAUUUAGACAUACUCAUUGGCUCCGCAAUAUUUUCCGAUGGGGCAGCGGCUUUGAUUGUUGGUGCUAAUCCUAUUGUCAGCAUCAACGAGUGCCCUUUAUUUCAAAUUGUAUCAGCAAGUCAAAGCAUUAUCCCUAAAUCUGAUGAUUUACUAAUAGGGAAAAUACGUGAAAUGGGGAUGGAGUAUUAUCUAUCGAGAAAUUUGCCUCAAUACGUGUCUAACAACAUCAAGCAAUGCAUGGUUGAAGCGUUUACUCCAUUUGGAAUCAGGGAAUGGGAAAAUUUGUUUUAUAUAGUUCAUCCUGGUGGAGUAGCUAUUCUUAAUGGAAUUGAAGAAAAACUUGGGUUGAAUAAGGAGAAGCUUAGAGCAAGUAGGCAUGUGCUAAGUGAAUAUGGAAACAUGAGGGGUCCAAGCGUGAUCUUUGUUCUUGAUGAGAUGAGGAAAAUGUCGGUGUUGGAAGGCAAAGCCACCACAGGUGAAGGUCUUGAGUGGGGCGUGUUGUUCGGGUUUGGGCCAGGUCUCACAGUGGAGACAUUGGUGCUUCGUAGCUUUGUUACAAAUUCAGCACCAUAAUCCAUAGUUAUUGCCGGUGUGUGAAACAAUAUGCGAAUGUGAACGAGAAGAUUGAUACAUGUUUCUUUAAAAAAAAACAACUUAAAAAUAUAAGUCUACAAUAAUGAACCAUGGAACCCUUAAAAUUUUCAUGUAUGAUAUAAUAAUCUUUAUAUAUUUUUAUUUUAGGUUUCAGUCUCUUUUCUUAGUGGAUUCAGAACAAAAUUCCUUUUGUAACACUUAAAUGUAACACCCCAAACUCUGCCUAGACGUUAAGACCAAGUCUGAAUGGUACAUCAAAACGUUUGAGGAAAACCAACCUCUAAGUAUCUUAAAAUUCAUCUUACAGAAAACACUUAACUACUUAAACCAACAUCACAUCCAAGUUUACAAACCAUAGUCCGAAAACAUACGUUAUUUAAAGUUUAAACAAACAAUAAAAUAUCUAGUAAGAGAUAUAACCGAGCUCCUAGCACACCGAAAAGAUUUAUUUUCUGUUGUACCUGAUUUUGAAAUUUCAGUUGACGAUUAGCAAAACUUGAAUUAUCUGCAAACUGAAUAUUUACAAUUAUUAAAUUGGUUUUAUUUUAAUUCUAACAAUGAUUAAACCCCUAAUUUGCAAAACAUAAGUAAAGAUUUUAUUGGGUUUUGUUAAGCAUUAAAAGAAAAGGGUUUUCAAAAAGAGAUUUUUUAGAUUUGAUCAGUAUUUUAAUUUGGGACACUUUGGUGAGCAACGUGACCUCUAGAAUUCGGUCGAAACUUCUGGGAUGAGUUUUGGGGUGUUACAAUAAAUUUUAAAUAUAAAGUAUUCAUCAGUUAUAUAAAAUGCUCAUCAAUAAACUCCACAAAUAAAAUUUAUUAUUUAAUGAAUUAACAAGAAAGAACUAAAGGGUGAGCAGGGCUUUUUUUUUUUUUUGAUAAUCAUGUGAAUAGUUAAAAGUUUUAUUUUUUUUAAUAUUAUGCAUGCGCUGUUCGGUGCAUUAUGUUCCAAUCGGUAUGAUUCGAUUUGAUCGAAACGAGUCGAUGUAAUUUAUAUGAAUCGAAAUUUUCACCAGUGCAGAAAAUGGUGUUGCUUGUUCCUCUUUAAAAUUGGAUCAAUGUACUUUAACUAUGACUGGAACUUAUGCAGUAUUGACCACCAUGUUCUUUCUACCACUCUCAUGGACUUUUUCAUUGUCCUUUCUAAUUCAAAACAAGAAAAGCUCGUACUUAAACCACAAUAAUUCAAAUUUUAUAUGGAUAUUUUGUGCAUGAAAAUCGUUACUCGUAUUAUAUUUAUCGAUGUUGCGAUUGUACACUCAAUAGAUAUGCCAAAGCUCUUGUCAACCAAUACCGAAUUUUUUUUCUCAAUAAUCUUGAUAGAAAAAAAUAUUAGGUUCAAAAUUAGUAUUGUAAAGUUAAAUGAUAAUAGCACACGAAUAAAUGUUUAAUGAUAAAAAAGAGGAGCCGGUUUUAUGUAUUAUAAAGUUAUAAAUUAAUCCAUGAUUAUAUUCAAAUCCUAAAUGAAUGAAGGCACAUGUGAAAUAAAAUCAUAUUGAAUAGCCAAAAAUACACUUAUCCUUAGAUAAGAUAAUUUGCCAAACACUAGUGAAAUAGGAUUUAAUCUUCUUGGAGCUUGAGGAUUUGGUAAGUUAGGUUGCCCAAACACUAAAACUUCAUUAACAUUAUUGCCUAACUCAUUUAUUUUUGCAAUUGAAGUUCUCAAAAUAAUUUCUAUAUAAACUCAAUUUUGAAAGUUUUUGCUAAAAAACAACAAACCAAAAAUUUUUAGAUAUGGCAAGAGAAAAUAACUUGGAGGCUUGUAGAGUUGAGAAAUUAACUACUAUUCUAGCUAUUGGCACAACAAAUCCACCCAACUGCUUUUACCAAGCUGAUUAUCUAGAUUUUUACUUUCGAGUGACUAAAAGUGAACAUAUGACACAAUUGAAAGACAAAUUUCGACGAAAGUAAAUAGUUAUUAAGUCUUUAUAAUAAUAGUAAAUAGUUAAAAUUUUUAUUUUUUUACUAUUAUUCAUGCAUUGGUCAAUGCACCAUGUUCCAAUCGGUGUGAUUGGAAUUGAUUGAAACGAGUUGAUGUAAAUUAUAUGAAUUGAAAUUUUCACCAGUGCGGAAAAUAGUGUUACUUGUUCCGCUCUAAAACUAGAUCAAUGCGCAUUGACUUUUUUUUUGAACAACAAUGCGCAUUGACUUAUAUUCGGAUAAGAGCAUUAUUGAAAUAGCAAAAAAAAAAAUCCACUUAUCUUCGGAUAAGAGAAUUUGCCAAACACUUGUGAAAUAGGCUUUAAUCUUCUUGGAGCUUUAGGAUUGGACAAGUUGGGUUGGGGAAAUUAUUAACAUUAAAGCUUAAUUCACUUAUUUUUGUAAUUGAAGUCUUCAAAAUAAUUUUUAUAUAAACUGAAUUUUGAAAGCUUUUACUAAAAAGUAAGAAACUAAAAAUAUUUAGAUAUGGCAACAAAAAAUAACUUGGAGGCUUCUCAAGUUGAGAAAUUAGUCGCUACUCUAGCUAUUGGCACAACAAAUCCACCUAACUAUUUCUAUCAAGCUGACUAUUCAGAUUUUUACUUUUGAGUGAUUAAAAAGUGGACACAUGAUGCAAUUAAAAGAAAAAUUUAACGAAUAUUAAGUAUCAUAAUUUCGUAAAAGCUAAGAAUUGACUGUUAUUUUAUACCUACAUAUAUAUAAUCUUUCAUCAAGUGAAUUUUCCAUUUCUACACUAAUAUAAAUGUUCUUUAUGUAUCUUCAGGUGAGAGAUCUACAAUAAAGAAACGUUGCAUGUACUUAACUGAGGCCAUGCUAAAAGAAAAUCCCAACUUAACUAUCUACAAGGCUCCAUCUUUUGAUAUUCGUCAGGAGAUCCUUGUAACUGAAGUACCUAAGCUAGGUAUGGAAGCGGCAUUGAAAGCCAUCAAAGAAUGGGGACAGCCCAUUUCAAAGAUCACUCACCUUAUAUUUUGCACAUCUUCAGGGAUAGACAUGCCUAGUGCCGACCAUAAGCUUGCUAAGCUCAUUGGCCUCAAACCUUCCGUUCAGAGAUUCAUGAUUUAUAAUCAAGGUUGUUUUGGCGGUGCCUCUGCCCUACGUCUUGCCAAGGAUUUAGCCGAGAACAAUGCUAGUGCUUGAGUGCUUACCGUGUGCUCCGAGAUUAUUGUUGCGAGUUUUCAACCACCUUCGAACACCCAUUUAGACAUACUCAUCGGCUCUGCAAUUUUUGCCGAUGGGGCAGCAGCUUUGGUUGUUGGUUCUAAUCCUAUUGCCAGCAUCAACGAGCGUCCUUUAUUUCAAAUUGUUUCAGCGAGUCAGACCUUUAUCCCUGAGUCUGAUGAUAUGCUGAUAGGGAAAGUACGUGAAAUGGGAAUAGAGUAUUAUAUGUCAAGAGAUUUGCCUAAGUACAUUGCUAACAACAUCGUGCAAUGCAUGGCUGAAGCGUUUACUCCAUUUGGCAUCACCGAAUGGGAAAACUUGUUUUACGUAGUCCAUCCUGGUGGAGCUGCAAUUCUCAAAGGAGUUGAAGAAAAACUUGGGUUGAAUAAGGAGAAGCUUAAAGCGAGUUGGCAUGUACUAAGCGAAUAUGGAAACAUGCGAAGUCCAACCGUGUUCUUAACGAGAUGAGGAAAAUGUCAAUGUUAGAAGGCAAAGCCACAACUGGUGCUGGUCUUGAGUAGGGCGUGUUACAAAUACAGCACCAUAGUCCAUAGCUAUAACUUUAUUUCUGUUGAACAAAAUUUCUAGUGUGUGAAUCAAUAUGCAAAUGUGACGCAUACUCAAUAAAAUGAGAGGAUUGUUACAUGUUUCUCUAAAAAACAACUUUAAAAAAUAUUUAAUCUAGAAAAAUGAACCGUCAUGUAUUAUUGUUUCAAAUUUCAGUAUACUCUGUGCCUCUUAGUGUUCCCCUGACACAUGGAUUCAGUUUUGUGGUCAAUCUUUGUUUUCUCUUCUGGUCAAAGAGGGAAUUGUGUUCCCUUCUCCAAAUCCAGAAGGUUGCUAUAACAGAUCUGAAAUUUGAAGGUAAUAAUUGAGUUUUGCCAUCAACAUUAUACCCCGUUUGUUUUUCUUUCUUCAAACCGAUUGAAUGUUGCUUUAAUAAAUUUGAAAUGCCAGGAAAAUGGAUCAAAUUGAAGUUGACCAUUAUGUGGCCUUUUUUAAGGAAUUCUACCCACCAUAUUUCUUUUCGAUUAAUCAUCUCAAAAUUUGACCCAAACUUUAGGAGUUAUAAGAAUUGUUCCCAUUAAACCUUAAUAGUUUCUUCCUUUUUGUUACCUAGAAAAAUAGUAUUGUCUUUGUAGAAUCCGUUUUUAAUUAAAAAAAAUGAAAUUCUUUUUUGUAUAGAAGUAUUUCUACUUUCUUUCAUCCCUUCAAAAAUUUUUUUUUAAAGAAAGCCAGUUAGGGUUGAAUUAAAAAACAAAGAGAAGAGUGAUUUUUCUUCUAAAAUCUCCAAAAUAAGCUAUAGUUGAAGUUAUAUACUUCAAUCAUUACCUUGAAAUUUCGUACCUGUUAAAGCAACAUUCAACAGAUCAGUGGAUUUGGAGGAGGGAAGGUCUUUGACCCAAAGAGAAAACAAACGGAAUAUUAUGUUGACGGCAAAAUUCAGUUAAUUGGUAUAUAAUUAUAUUAUUUACGUGUCAAUAAAUAAGACAGAAAUUUUGUUAUUAUGAAAAAUAAAUGCAAUGAGCGCUAGGGGGCCGGAAUUAUAAUUUGGUUCUUACAUAAAUUAUAUAAUUAUAAAUUGACUCUUUUAAACAUUUUCUUCUUACACAUAUUUUAUCUUUAUUUUUUGGCUAUUGUUGAUCUUUUAGGUUUUGUUUGAGUUACAUUCUUCAAUUAUUUUUUUGUCAAUCCGUGUUAAAAUUGGUACUUGCCUUUAAUACCAUUAAAAACAUUCCCAAUCAAAUCACUCCCUUAAAAUAUAUUUAAUUUUUUUAUAUUAAUAUUAAAUAGAAUAAUUAUAUUAAAAUUAAAAUUAAAAAAAUUGCAUCCCCUCCCGCUCUCUCCAUCUUCAAAGGUUUUGGAGGGGCUCCGGUGGAUGAAUGAGUGAUUUUGGAUAAGUUAAUAUAGUGUAGGGAAAUGAGUGGUUUUUGGGUUUCGGUUGGAAUGAUGAUUCUGCUUUAUUUAGUUUGUUAUAGUUUUUUUCACAUUUUUGUAUAUAUAUAUAUGAUAUUCGUACAUGAAUUACCGUGACUUACUUAAAGGAUGUUAUGUUAUGACAGAUUUUGAAGAAUGGAUUCAAGAGUUAUGUAUUUGAGUUGCUAUUUGAGUUUUAGAAUAAUGAUUUCUGGUUCAUUUUGAAGCUGAAACUUUUUCAAGGUUGAUCGUUUUGUUGUUUUAUUUGAUUCAAUGUUACCGGUUAAUGCUUGGUAAUUGAGCUAUUGUUAUGGGUUUAAACGGAAAGACAUUUGGCUUAAAGUUGGAGAGAGAGAGAGGGUGUUAUGAUUUAAAAGGAAACACAUCUCGUUUAAAGAUGGAGAGAGAGAGGAGGACGUGGGGAGGAAUAGUUAUUUUAUGUUUAAUAUUUAUAUAAAAUUAUCUUUUAAUGGGUGGUGACAUGGUGCAAUUCUAUUGGUUAAAAAAUAGAUCAACUCAAAAAUAGUUUAGAUGUCUAAUUCAAACAAAAUGAAUAAUUUAAAGGCUUCCGGUUAAUUUAGCCUUUUUUUUUUUUAGGUUGACUUUGAUAAAAGAAAAAAUGAAGGGCUCCUUAUCCAAAUUAGGAGGGCAUCCACUUAGCUCUAGGCCUAACUCGAUCAAAAUCAAAACAACACCAGAAAUAAGUCCCGCAAGUAUAUGGAAUACCAUUUUAAUCAAUGUUUUAGGCUUCAUUUGUUUUAUUGACAUAAUGAUGAAAAAGGAUCGUGAUUCCAGGUCAUUUGUCAUAAGACAAAUUAUUUAGUUACUUUGAAUUAGUAAUUGACUUUUUUAUAUCGAAAAAUGUAAUAGAUAUUAUGAUUGGGAGAACAAAUUUUAUCCCAAAGAGAUUAAGAAUAUUUUAUGAGGGUAACACACUUAUGACAAGAUCAUUGAAUGAGUACUUAACUAGUAGCUUUCGUAAUAGCAUAUAAUAAGGUAGAGUUUAAUUAUGGUAUUACAGUGGAACGACUUAAUGAUUAAAUAAUGUUGUAAUUAAUAGGUGAAAAAGUUAAAACUUAAUUACAAAUUAUUUGAGUAUUAUUUAUAUUUGUCUGGCUAGUCUAUCUGCUAACUCAAUAUAAUCAAUAACGAAGUACAUGUUAAAAUUGAUAUUGUGCAAUGAAUGAGAACGAUAAGUAGGAAAAAUAGAUCGCAUGUAUCACAAUUUAUAGUGAAUGCAUUUUCCCGCUAAGUACAAAAAAGAUUAAAUUCAUUUAUUCAAAUUAUUAUUUAAUUAUUUAUAAUUAAAUAAGUGAAGUUCAAAGUCAAAAUUCAACUAAUUACUCAUCAUAAUUUAUUGAAUGAGACAAUUACAUAUAUUUCCUCAUAGAUUUUAAUACCAUAAAGUUGUCAUAAAUUUAACGAAAUUAGAAUUGGAUUGAAAAAUAAUUUAAUUGAGAAAUUAAUUGGCUUAAGAGUCAAAAAAGUCCUUAGUAAAAAAUGAAAAAAAUCAUUUGAGCUCUUAAGAAAAAAAAUACACCCUGUUAAAUCUUUAAUGACCAAAAAAUUAAUCAACUAGGUCAUUUUGUUAAUGGAAACCGUUAGUUGACCAGUUUAACCGUUAAAGGCACUGACAUGACUGACGACAAUCACUAAGAGAUGACACAUGGCAUGCCAUGUGAAAGAAUGUUGAUAUGACAUGACACAUCAACAAAAAAUUCAUUUUUUAAUAAAUAUUUUUUAAAAAUUUUAUUUAAAAAAUAAUUAAUAAAAAUUACAUCUAGAAUGAAUCUGGACAUAAUGUUGUCCAGAUCUAUUUGAAUCUAGAUAAUUACUUGUCUAAAUUUGUUUUAGAUGAGUUCAAAAUUUAAAAAAAAAAGAAAUUAUAAAAAAUAUUAAUAAUGAUUUAGAAAUUCUAAAAAUUAUAAAUAAAUAAAAAAGAAGAUAAUAUAUGAUUAAGGUCCUAACUUCAGCCCUAUGAUUAAGACCCGCUAUGCUAUUUUGCAACAGCAUAUUUCCCUGUGCUGUCGGUUUCCACUUUCGGUCAUUUGACUUCCUUUUUGAACCAAGUGAGUGUCUAAAUUUAUAAAAAAAAAAAUGGGAACCAGAAACUGAAAAAAAGGAGCAAUAUACUGCUUUGGAAUUGAAUGUGAUUGCAACCUGUUGUCGUUGAUGGUGGCUUUUGCUGAGUAUGUGGUUAAAGUGGGUGUUCAGAAAUGCAUAUUCCAGUUUUCAAACAAUGACUGCAAAUGGGGUUGUAUUUCAUGUUCAAGUUAAAUAGAGCAAAUCCUAUUUCAGGCAAUCCACCUUCCAGUGGUUUGGUUAUGAGGCCGGGACUGAGUUAAUUCCACAAGAAUCAAAGCAUUCCUUCACCCUGAAUUUGUUAAAGCUGUACGUGUGUGUGGAGUUUGAUUGAGUCAAGUAGUUGGUUAAAAAGAUCUGUCUUGUGCAAAUAAUCUAUUAAUAAUUUAUCAAUAUUUUACUAUUAUUUCUCCUCUAAUUUCAAUAUUCUGUUUAGUGGGAUUCCUAUUUCCUAGCUAUUAAGGUUGAAAUUUUGACUAUUUAAAGGCAUUGAUUAGCGACUAAUAAAAAGUAGAAAUCAGUUCAAUUCUCAUCUGUCUCUAUUGCUAAUCCUUUUCUUUAUAGAAUAAAAACUUAGCAGCAGCUUUUAUUUUUCAACAUUGGUAUCCAAGCUAGGUUUAAGCCUUAGAUUUUUCAGCAGCAACAGUAAGCAAAGUGAUGGCCAUCUACAACUUUGUUCAACCAUCCAUUCCCCGCUUUGAUGGACACUACGAUCAUUGGAGUCUGUUGAUGGAGAACUUCUUGAGGUCCGAGGAGUAUUGGUAGGUUGUUUCUGAGGGAAUUGAGGAACCAACAAAUGACACAGUAGUGACAAGGGCUCAGAAGAAGGAAAUAGAAGGGUUGCGCUUGAAAGAUUUAAAAGCAAAAAAUUAUCUUUUCCAAGCAAUUGACUGUUCAAUCUUGGAAACCAUCCUUUGCAAAGACACGUCCAAGCAUAUUUGGGAUUCCAUGAAGAAAAAUAUCAGGGUUCUGCGAGGGCAAAGAGGCAGCGACUUCAAGCACUUCGUUCGGAGUUUGAAACACUACGAAUGAAAUCGGGUGAGUCGAUAACCCAUUAUUUUUCAGGUACAAUGGCCAUUGUCAACAAAAUGCGAAUUCAUGAAGAUAAAAUAGAUGAUGUUGCUGUGAUUGAGAAAAUACUUUGCUCCAUGACUACAAAAUUCAAUUUUGUAGUUUGUUCCAUUGAGGAAGCUCAUGUCAUCGAGGAACUUUCAAUUGAUGAGCUACAACGUUCUUUGUUGAUACAUGAGCAGAAAAUUUGCCAGCAAGAGAAGGAGCAUCAUGCAUUGAAGGCUUUUAAAGAUAAUCAUCUCACAACCAGAGGAGGUCAUGGUAGAGGAAAAUGUAGAGGCGAAGGUAGAGUAAACAAUGAUCAUGGUUACCACCAGCACGAGUCUCAUUCCCAAAAGAGAGGAAGAGGAAGAGGAAGAGGAGGUCAUCACUCUACAUCUUUCAGAACAAAGUCAACAGACGAAUCUAAUGUUGAGUGUUUUCAGUGUCACAAGUAUGGCCAUUAUCAAUCAAAAUGUCGAGUUAAUUUGAAUAAUAAAAAUAGAGACAGAACUAACUUUGCAGAAAAUGAAGAAGUAUCUUUGCUGAUGGCUUAUCAUGUCAAAGAAGAAACGUAGAAGAAUUUAUGGUAUUUGGACACAGGCUGCAACAAUCAUAUGAGUGGCGACAAGUCUGCGUUUUCGGUGUUAGAUGAGUCUAUUCGUGACAAUGUGAAGUUUGGUGAUGAUUCAAAAGUCUCUGUAAUAGGGAAGGGAAAGGUAACAAUUCAAAUGAAACGUAAUGUUGUUUAUACUAUAUCUAAUGUCCUCUUUGUUCUAGAUUUGAAAAUAAAUUUGUUGAGCAUUGGCCAACUACAAGAAAAGGGAUAUGAGAUUUCGAUUAAAGAUGAAGUUUGUAGAAUACAAGAUGAAAAAUUAGGAUUAAUUGCCCAAGUUGAUUUGACACCUAACAGAAUGUUUUUAUUGUACCUCUACACCAUCACCAACUCAUGCUUCUCUACAAGGUUGCAAGAUGAAAGUUGGCUUUGGCACUUUCGGUAUGGGUAUUUAAAUUUUGGAGGUUUAAAAAUAUUACAGCAAAAGAAUAUGGUGACAGGCCUCCCACACAUCCAAACUCCUUCUCAAGUAUGUAAAGAAUGUGUCAUUAGUAAACAACAUCGAGAACCAUUUCAAAAAGGAAAAUCAUGGAGAGCGAGGAAGGCAUUGGAGCUUGUGCAUUCAGACUUAUGUGGACCGAUCGCUCCUACGUCAAAUGGAGGUAAACGAUAUUUUAUAUCGUUCAUUGAUGAUUUUAGUAGAAAAACUUGGGUUUAUUAUUUGCAUGAAAAAUCUAAAGCUCUCACAGCCUUUAAGAGUUUCAAAGCUCUAGUUGAAAAAGAAGCAGGGACUCCAAUCAAGGUGUUGCGUAGUGAUCGUGGUGGAGAAUACAAUUCAGAAAAAUUUGUUAUUUUUUGUGAUAAGAAAGGAAAUAAGAAGCUACUAACAGCAACAUACACACCUUAACAAAAUGGCAUCUGCAAAAGAAAGAAUCGCACAAUUUUGAACAUAGUACGAAGUCUUUUAACAAGGAGCGGAGUUCCAAAAGUUUUUUGGCCUGAAGUCGUUGAACUAGCAAAUGUGCAUCCUUAACGUAACAGGAAGGGACCUGCAUGGAUGGAGAAUUUUGUGGUAGAGGGAAUUAAUGAAGAGGAAGUUACACAUUUUGCUCUAUUUUCAGAUUGUGAUCCAGUAGCAUUUGAAGAAGCCGUAAAAGAGUCCAAAUGGAAAAAAGCAAUGAAUGAAGAAAUGGUAGCCAUUGAACGUAACAACACUUGAGAGUUGACUGAUCUUUCCAAAGGGCACAAAACAAUUGGUGUGAAGUGGGUUUACAAGACAAAACUGAAGGAAAAUGGCGAGGUUGACAAAUUCAAGGCACGCUUAGUAGCUAAAGGCUAUAAGCAUGAAUUUGGUGUUAAUUACAAAGAGGUGUUUGCCCCUGUUGCUGUCAUGAUACAAUCAGGCUAGUGAUUACUCUUGCGGCUCAAAAUUCGUGGCCUAUUUUCCAAUUAGAUGUGAAAUCGGUGUUUUUACAUGGUGAUUUGAAAGAACAAGUGUUUGUUGAGCAACCUCCUGGAUAUGUAAAGCAUGGAAAUGAGCACAAGGUGUAUAGGUUAAAGAAGGCUUUUUACGGGUUGAAGUAAGCCCCAAGGGCUUGGUAUAGUCGUAUCGAAGCUUACUUUCUAAAAGAAAGCUUUCUAAGUUAUUCAUAUGAGCAUAAACUUUUUACCAAGGUUGGUGAUGGAGGUAAAAUGAUUACUGUUUGCUUAUAUGUUGAUGAUCUUAUUUCUAUUGGGAGUGAUGUUGCCAUGUUUUACAAAUUCAAGAAGUUUGUGAUGAUUGAAUUUGAUAUGACUGAUCUUGGUAUGCUUAAUUAUUUUUUGGGCAUUGAAAUGGUGCAAUCUGCUGCUAAAAUUUUUAUUUCUCAAAAUAAAUAUGUGUAAGAAAUUUUAGACAGGUUUCAAAUAAAGAAUUGCAACUCCGUUUGCACACCUACUGAAGUGGGCAUGAAGCUUAUUCGAGAUCCUGAAAGGAGGAAGGUUGAUAGCACCAUCUACAAGCAAAUGGUGGGAAGCUUGAUGUAUUAAACUGCAACAAGACUAGACAUUAUGCAUGUUGUAAGUCUCAUUAGUAGGUUCAUGGAGUGCCCAAAGGAAAUUCAUCUUUUAAUUGCAAAAAAAAUACUUCAGUAUUUGAAAGGUACUACUAGUUAUGGUCUGUUCUACAAAAAGGGUGAAAAAUCAGAUUUGUAUGGCUUUACAGACAAUGAUUAUGCUGGUGAUCGAGAUGAUAGAAAGAGUACUUCAAGUUAUGCAUAGAAAGAGUACUUCAAGUUAUGCAUUUAUGCUGGGCUCAGGGGCUAUUUCUUGGUCUUUAAAAAAACAACAAAUUGUCACUUUAUCUACAACUGAAGCCGAGUUUGUGUCCGCAACAGCUUGUGCUUGUCAAGCUAUUUGGUUGAGGAAAAUACUUGACGAACUACACUUAUUGCAACAAGGAGCAACAACAAUUUUCUGUGACAAUAAUUCAGCAAUCGAACUUUCCAAGAAUUUGGUGUUACAUGGACGAAGCAAGCAUAUAGAUGUGAAGUACCAUUAUUUGAGGGAUCUUACAAAUAAUGGCGUCAUUGAUUUGAUUUGUUGUAGGAGUGAAGACCAAAGUGCUGAUAUUUUCACUAAAUCUUUAAAGAGAGCUGCAUUUCAGAAGUUAAGAAGGUUGCUUGGUGUCUGCACUUUGGAAGAUCCAUCAGUUUGAAGCUAUAAUCUUUUAAACCAAAUAUUUGCGAGUUUUUGGUUUAAGGGAGAGUUUGUUAAAGCUAUACGUGUGUGUGUGGAGUUUGAUUGAGUCAAGUAGUUGGUUAAAAAGAUCAUGUAUUGUGCAAAUAAUCUGUUAAUAAUUUAUCAAUAUUUUACUGUUAUUGCUCCUCUAAUUUCGAAAUUUUGUUGUAGUAGGAUUCCUAUUUCCUAGCUAUUAGUUGUUGGAAUUUUGCCUAUUUAAAGGCAUUGAUUAGUGGUUAAUAAAAAGUAGAAAUUAGUUCAAUUCUCAUCUGUCACUAUCGCUAAUCAUUUUCUUUAUAGAAUAAAAACUUAGCAGCAACUUUUAUUUUUCAACAGAAUUUAUUGUAUUUGAAAAAAGGGAUUAAUCAAGUUACAGAUGAUGUCUGGCUUCUACUUGCGGACCAUACAUACGGAUACAGUAUAUAUAUUUGCAAAUAAUAGCUUAAUGGAACAUAUGGUUGUCAGGCAGUGGAGGGGAUAAAUAUAUAUAUAGAAAAGAGGGUUUCUUUGUUUAUAGAGAAAUUCCAUGAUAUUCAAAAUAUAGAGAGUUAAAAGGCGGUUAUUUUACUAAAUUGACAAAAAAAUUAAAUAUUUAUAAGAAUAAUUUAGAUUCAAAAAUAUUAACGAAAAUAACCUAGAAAGAACAAUGUACAGUGCUGUCGGCAACUCUAUGACUGGCACCCAUGUCAGAAAUGAUUAAAAAAUAUAUUUUUGGUGCCGGUAAUACAGUAGUCGACAUCCAUGUAUAUUUUUUUUACCCGUAUUUUGUACAAUACAUUUUAUACUUAAUUUUAAAAAUUAAUAAUUUUUUUGAGUGCCAUAUAGUGGGUGGCCAGCACCCAUUUUCAAACCUUUUUAAUUUUUUGGUGCCAGUACUGAGGUAGCCAACACCCAUUUUCAAUGACAAAUAUUAUUUUUCUUGAUCUCGUGAACCCAUCGGUCAGCAUCAGUACAUAUUGGAAUUUCGUGAUCAAAAAACAAAAAGAAAAAAAUAUGUAAACUCAUCUUUUGCAAAUGAUUCUCUUCGCUAUUUCUUCCCAAACCCCUCCUUUUCAUCAUCUCUUGUUUCAGAAAACUAAAAAGAAAAAAAAAGACUUAUGAUAUAAUUUAUCUGUUUCAGAAAAUGAAAAGCCAAAAACAUUUUAGAAAAUGAAAAAAAAUUGAGAAGAAUGGAGGAAGAGAAAAAAAAAAUUUGAGAUAUGGAAAAUGAAAAUGAAUGGAACAGUUGGGUUUUCAAUGAGGGAUACAACUCAUUUCUUUUUGUUUUAGUUUUAUUUAUUUAUUUAUUUACUUGUUUGUUGGUUUUCAAUGUUCUGUUGGCUUUUCAUUUUCAGAAACAGUUAAACUAUCGAAAGUUUUUUUUUUUUAAAUUUUUUGAAACAGGAGAUGAUGAAAAGGAAUGAAAGAGUUUGGGAAGAAAUAGUGAGAGAGAACUAGUUGCAAUAGAUGAGUUUGCAUAUUUUUUUCUUUUGGUUUUUUUAUCAUGGAAUAUCCAUAUGUAUUGUUGUUGGCCACCUGCUACAAGACACCAAAAAAAUUGUUUUUUUAAAGCCAUGUGUAAAAUGUAUUGUACAAAAUAUAAGCAAAAAAUACACAUGGGUGCCAGUCAUUACAUUACCGACACCAAAAAAAAAAACUUAAUCCUUUCUGACAUGAGUGCCAGCCAUGGGGUUGUCGGCACCAUCGUGCAUUGUUCCUUCCAGGUUAUUUUUAUUAAUGUUUUUGAAUCUGGGUUAUUCUUAUAAAUAUUUAAUCUUUUUAGGUCAUUUUAGUAAAAUAGUGUAACACCUCUUACCCGAGACCGUUGCCGGAAUCGAGUACGAGGCAUUACUUAGCUUAUCUUACUAAUUCGGGGCAUAAAAAUUCGUUUUAAAAAUUAAUUUCACUGUUUACAGUAAUCUGUCCAAUCACGCAGCAGUUACUAAAUUGAUUAUAACUCGAGCUACGGAACUCCAAAUUUAAUUUCGUAAUUUUUUCCUGAAACUAGACUCAUAUAUCUUUCUACCAUAAAAUUUUCAGAAUUCUUGGUUUGACCAAUUAAUACAGUUUAUUAGUUAAAUUCUCCCCUGUUUCUUCACUCGACUGUCCUGACCCCUUGGUACUAAAAAUAAAUUUUCUCAUUAUAGGAUUUUCAUAUGAUAUUACCACUUUUCAAUCAAUACACAAUUCACAUAUUCACAUAUCUCAAUUUAAUAUCUCAUUUAUUCAAUUCAUAUUUUAAUUCAUUCAAUUAAAUAUUGAUAUUCUCCUUAUUUUUAUUUACUAACAUAUUAUUCAAAAUUCAAUAAUUACUGUCAAUAAAUUCAAUAUCAAUACGUAUAUAUAUUAUUCAAUUCAAUUAUGAAACUCACCUCAAUUUGCUUAUCGUGUAUAUUAAUUUAAUUUUCAACGAUUAAUAAUUAAAUUCGAAUUAUAGUAAUACUAACCGCAAUUUCUCUCGAGUCACUCCUUGUCCACUUUCUCCUUUCCUUUCUCGGACAAUGACUCGUACACGACAUUAGCUACGUAAUUAAACAAUUAAAAAUCAUUAAUACACAAUUUUAUUAAAAUAUUUCCUUUUAUACCUAAACUUUACCCAAAUUCUAAUUUAAUCCCUUACCAAUACUAAUUUUAUUUUUCCCAAUCUAACUCUACAUUCUCUCUUAAUUCUUACUAUAAAGUCAAUUUAAUUCCUCAAUUUCACCAUAAAUCCCUAAUUUCGGGAUUCUUUCAAUUUAAUCCCUAUCGAUUCAAAACUUAUAUUUUAUUUUACAAUCACAUUCUUUACUAACUUCUAACUUGAAAUUAAAUCAAUUUAACCCCUAACUAAACCUAUAUAUUUUUCUUUCUCAAUUCAUACCCUUAUUCUACCCAAUUUCUUACUAAACUCAUAUUUAACUAUUUAAUUUUUAUCAUGUUUUCAUAAUUCCGAAUUUAUUUCAAAUUAAUCCCUAAAAUUCAAAACUUAUAGUUUAGUUUACAAUUCAAUCCUUUAUUCAAUUCCAAUCAAAAUUUCUAUCAAAUACAUCCCUAAUUUAACAAUUUAUUCAACAUGAACCAUGCUUAAUAAUCUACUAACUUCCAAAAUUUCAACUUAAAUCAAGUAGUAUUUUGUUCUAGGAUUUCAAAAAAAAUAUCAAAAUUAAGAGAAAAGGGGAUUAAAUUGACUUACCAAAUUACUUUGAACCUUAAAACCCCAAAUUUCUCUUUUUCUUUUCUUUUUUUUCUUUCUUUCCUUCCUUCCUUCUCUGUUUCGUUUUGCUCUCUGUUUCUUUCUUUCUCCCUUCUCUGUUUUGUUUUGCUCUCUGUUUCUU
rnacentral:lncRNA from 1 species